rnacentral:rRNA from 1 species
UGAGGGCUUUGAUGCUGGCACGGAAACGUGCAUGUGCUCGGGUCCUUGUGCUAAAUCCACUCUUAACACCUGUGCACCUUUCGAAGUCAGUAGUUGGUUCCUCAUUUGCUCGGAUGGCCUCUUACUUAGUAGCGUUUUGUUGACGGUCUUCAUUGACUUUAUCUUGACGCGAACGUAACGUUGUCUCCUUAUGCUGGGAUCGGCGAACACUUUGACUUUAUUAUAAACCUUUACUUGUCUUGUAGAAUGUAAUGCUCCUUGUGGGCGAAAUGAAAUACAACUUUCAACAACGGAUCUCUUGGCUCUCGCAUCGAUGAAGAACGCAGCGAAAUGCGAUAAGUAAUGUGAAUUGCAGAAUUCAGUGAAUCAUCGAAUCUUUGAACGCACCUUGCGCCCCUUGGUAUUCCGAGGGGCAUGCCUGUUUGAGUGUCAUGUUAAUCUCAAUCUCCUCGUCUUUUGUUACUUUCUUAACUGAAAGGAAAAGGGACUUUGGGGGUUGGACUUGGAGGUCUUGCUGGCCCUAUCUUUUGUGGUCGGCUCCUCUUAAAUGCAUUAGCUGAACUUUGGUUCGCGUGAUGUUGUCGGUGUAAUAGUUUUAUUCACUGCUGUUCCGCGCUUGCCUAAUGGGUUCGCUUCUAAUUGUCUUCGGACAAGGCUGCUUGAAGCCUUCUUGACCUUUGACCUCAAAUCAGGUAGGACUACCCGCUGAACUUA